UACGAAGGGUGCAAGCGUUACUCGGAAUUACUGGGCGUAGAGCGUGCGCAGGCGGUUUGUUAAGUCUGUUGUGAAAUCCCCGAGCUCAACUUGGGAAUUGCAAUGGAUACUGGCAGGCUGGAGUAUGGUAGAGGAAGGUGGAAUUCCCGGUGUAGCAGUGAAAUGCGUAGAGAUCGGGAGGAACACCAGUGGCGAAGGCGGCCUUCUGGACCAAUACUGACGCUCAUGCACGAAAGCGUGGGGAGCAAACAGG
rnacentral:rRNA from 1 species